GUCAGGGAAGGGAGUAGAUGAUCUCAGACUGCUCUAGAGCCUGAAGUAGCAGCCACACUGUGCCCUGCCUGAGGAUGACCUGGGAGAAGAUUUGCUGGGAGUGCUGCUUGCUGUUUAUCUUCAGGAGAUGGAGGAUGAUCCUGAGCUGCAGUGUGGGGAAUGCAGCUCUUAUUUGAAUCCUGACACCAACUGUUGCCUGAAGACACAGUGAGACUUUCACUUUUAUCUGUAUUUCACCCACUGACAAUAUUAGUCAUGCCUCUAUAGAACUGUCAAGUCUGGAUGUGUCCCCAGCUGCUUCUCUGAAUCACAGGAACUGCAUGCUGCACAGACUUACCUGCCAAGGGAAGCAGAUUCACCAUUUCCUGUGUAUCGUCAGCACCUUCACAGAAUACAGUUGUGCCCAGUUCUGUUCUAGCAAGAACUUCUGCUGCUCCUCCUCUGGAUAAAGUCUGUCUGUUUUAGGGGUUUCUGCUGGUUAUGGGGCUGCCAUCAAUAGUGCCAAGAUAUCAAAAAGGAGUCUUGGUCACUAACCAUCUCCUACAACAUGAAAUCCUAUCUGAAGAGACCUCCAUUACUUCAGAAUGUACAUGAGUUCAUAAAAAUAAUCAUCACCGGGUCUCUCCCUGUUCAUAUGAUACAGCUGGUGUGCAUGUAAAACUUACACGGGACUUAUCAAGUACACCGACAGCCACCUUUAACGAGGAAAACAACACAAAAGAACCCAAA